AUUGAACGCUGGCGGCAGGCCUAACACAUGCAAGUCGAACGAGUGGCGGACGGGUGAGUAAUGUCUGGGAAACUGCCCGAUGGAGGGGGAUAACUACUGGAAACGGUAGCUAAUACCGCAUACCAUCGGAUGUGCCCAGAUGGGAUUAGCUAGUAGGUGGGGUAAGGGCCCACCUAGGCGACGAUCCCUAGUCGGUCUGAGAGGAUGACCAGCCAAACUGGAACGUAGACACGGGCCAGACUCCUACGGGAGGCAGCAGUGGGGAAUAUUGCACAAUGGGCGCAAGCCUGAUGCAGCCAUGCCGCGUGUAUGAAGAAGGCCUUCGGGUUGUAAAGUACUUUCAGCGGGGAGGCGUUACCCGCAGAAGAAGCACCGGCUAACUCCGUGCCAGCAGCCGCGGUAAUUC
rnacentral:rRNA from 1 species